rnacentral:sRNA from 1 species
CUUUAGUCGAGCGGCUGAUGCUGCGAAUAGGGUCAAAAUAAAACACGCAAAAAGCGUUUUAAUUCCGAGUAUUUCUUAAAAAAAAAAAACCAAAAAAAAAAAAAAAAACAAUUUAUAAGCGUGUCUGUCUGUGCGACUCGUGCAUGUGUGUGUGUGUGUGUAAGCAGAACAACGCGCGUGAUUCAUACCUUUAUACACCGGGGGCGGCACAGGAAAAGUCGUCGACGACAGCGCGUGUUGUUGUUGGCCAGAA